AGAAUCAACGCUGGCGGCGUGCCUAACACAUGCAAGUCGAACGAGAAAGUGGGAGCAAUCCCACGAGUAAAGUGGCGCACGGGUGAGUAACACGUGACUAACCUACCCUUGAGUGGGGGAUAACCUAGGGAAACCUGGGCUAAUACCGCAUAAUACCUACGGGUCAAAGGAGCAAUUCGCUUUAGGAGGGGUCGCGGCAGAUUAGUUAGUUGGCGGGGUAAUGGCCCACCAAGACAGUGACCUGUAU
rnacentral:rRNA from 1 species